UCACGAUAAUAGCAAAGUCGGCGAAAGCCGGCGGCGCAAAGCCAGAGACCCGCUAAGUGACGCGGGGGUCAGGUUGCCGAA
rnacentral:ncRNA from 1 species